ACGUAGUUGUACUCCGUGGCUACAAGAACGAACGCUGGCGGCGCGCCUAACACAUGCAAGUCGAACGAGAAUCCGGGGCAACCCGGUAGUAAAGUGGCAAGCGGGUGAGGAAUACAUGGGUAACCUACCCUUGAGAAGGGAAUAACCCGCCGAAAGGUGAGCUAAUACCCUAUACGCUAUCUUUUUUUCGAAAAGGAUAGGAAAGCCGGGUCGAGGACCUGGUACUCAAGGAGGGGCUCAUGUCCUAUCAGCUUGUUGGUGGGGUAACGGCCUACCAAGGCUACGACGGGUAGCUGGUCUGAGAGGAUGAUCAGCCACACUGGCACUGAGAUACGGGCCAGACUCCUACGGGAGGCAGCAGUGAGGAAUAUUGCACAAUGGGCGAAAGCCUGAUGCAGCAACGCCGCGUGAGGGACGACGGCCUUCGGGUUGUAAACCUCUUUUAGCAAGGAAGAAGCGAAAGUGACGGUACUUGCAGAAAAAGCGCCGGCUAACUACGUG
rnacentral:rRNA from 1 species